UGGACCUGCUGUCAUUAUGAUAUGCUAGUAGAGUAUUAGGUAUGUCUGGACCUGCUGUCAUUAUGAUACGCUAGUAGAGUAUUAGGUAUGUCUGGACCUGCUGUCAUUAUGAUACGCUAGUAGAGUAUUAGGUAUGUCUGGACCUGCUGUCAUUGUGAUCUGCUUGCAUGCAGGAGACAGAGCUGACCUCUACCUCAUAGAUACCAGAGAUCCAAAAGUGUUCUUCUACUAUCCCAUUAGGAAAAUCCUUUUUUGUUCCAGGGAGAACCAUUUUGGGUUCCACGUCAGAACCCUCUGUGGAAUGGGUUCUACACGGAACCCCAAAACAAUUCUACCUGGAACCAACAAGGGUUCUUGAAAGAGUUCUCUCCUUUGGGGACAGAUGAAUAACCCUUUUAUGUUCUAGAUGGCAUCUUUUGUUCUAAGAGUGUAGGGAAUCGGGUGCAAUUUGAAGAGCAUCAUAAACCCCAGAGGCUUUAUAAGAGGCUUAAUGACAAGUGGUUGUUUUCUCUGGAGACUAACCGCAGCUGGGUGCAGUGGGCAGGUGCUGUCCUAGCAGGGCAUAGGAGGUACGGUCUAUAAUACACUACAGUACAGCUCUCAGCUCAGAUAAUGGAAGCUGCCUGGUCCCGCUACUCUACAGGGAUUACAGCGGAUUAUGUUCCUGCUGUGUUUGCCUGUCAGACAUGUCCUUUUUUACUGCCCAUUUGAUUGUGCUGUAAAGUAGGACUUUAUUUUCUCCCGUCGUGUGUUGAAGAGACUGGACGUGACAAGGCUCCGAGAUUGUCCCAGGGAAAGCUGUUGUUCCAAGGCAUCUAAGUUCAAACACACAAAGAUUUCCUGUCACAGAAGUAUUGUGAUGCUAAUCUAGAUGUUAUGAAACAGUCCCUCUAUUCUAGAAGGAAGCCUCGAUGGUUUCUGCUUUUUGGGCUAUCUGUACUUUACUAUUCAUAUUUUUGUCAACUUUUACUUUUAUUUCACUGCAUUCCUAAAUAAAUAAUGUACUUUUUUUUUACUCCAUACAUUUUUCCCUGACACCCAAAAGUACUCGUUACAUUUUUGACAGGAAAAUGGUCCAAUUCACACACUUAUCAAGAGAACAUUCCCGGUCAUCCUUUCUGCCUCUGAUCUGGAGGACUCACUAAAUACAAAUGCUUUGUUUGUAAAUUAUGUCUGAGUGUUGGAGUGCGUCCCUGCUGUCCGUCAAAAAAAAGACGAGAACAUUUCGGGGCGGCAGGUAGACUAGUGGUUAGAGUGGAGGGGAGGCAGGUAGACUAGUGGUUAGAGUGGAGGGGCGGCAGGUAGUCUAGUGGUUAGAGUGGAGGGGCGGCAGGUAGUCUAGUGGUUAGAGUGGAGGGGCGGCAGGUAGCCUAGUGGUUAGAGUGGAGGGGAGGCAUGUAGCCUAGUGGUUAGAGUGGAGGGGCGGCAGGUAGCCUAGUGGUUAGAGUGGAGGGGCGGCAGGUAGCCUAGUGGUUAGAGUGGAGGGGCGGCAGGUUAGAGUGGAGGGGCGGCAGGUAACCUAGUGGUUAGAGUGGAGGGGCGGCAGGUAGCCUAGUGGUUAGAGUGGAGGGGUGGCAGGUAGCCUAGUGGUUAGAGUGGAGGGGAGGCAGGUAGCCUAGUGGUUAGAGUGGAGGGGCGGCAGGUAGCCUAGUGGUUAGAGUGGAGGGGUGGCAGGUAGCCUAGUGGUUAGAGCGGAGGGCCAGUAACCAAAAGGUUGCAAGAUCGAAUCCCCGAGCUGACAAGGUAAAAAUCUGUCAUCCUGAACAAGGCAGUUAACCCGAAAAUAAGAAUUUGUUCUUAACUGACUUGCCAAGUUAAAUAAAGGUGAAAUACAUUAUUUUUUUUUAUGAUACUGAAGUACAUUUUAGCAAUUCCAUUUACUUUUGAUACUUCAGUAUAUAUAAAACCAAAUACUUUUAGACUUUUACUCAAGUAGUAUUUUACUGGGUGACUUUCACUUUUACUUGAGUAAUUUUCUAUGAAGGUAUCUUUACAAUUGAGGUACUUUUUCCACCACUGGAUGAAAUUGUCCUGUUUGGCUUUACAGUGGAGUUGUUAAUACCAGACACAGACUUGGGACCAGGCUAGCCAAAGGAGCAACACUUCACGUUAAGUUGCCCUUCUGUCAAACUACAACUCUCGCUGAUAAACAAAUAGUAUUCAGCUGGACGGAUAAGGUUCAUGAAACAAUGGUUCCAUUUUAAAGGGAAUGCGCCAAGUUCUAGACAUUUCUAUAUUGACACAUGGCAAAUAUUUUAAGAAGCUUCUGGGCCGUGACAGAGGUAGCAUGAAUGUUGAGAUGACACACACAUAAAAGAGAUCUAUCAGAAUGUGACACUAACCAACAGCAGUAUUAAUGUUCCGGGCCGCUGUAUAAUUCAUUGUGUUUUCACCGUGUUUUGGAAUAUUGGUGAAAUGGAACAAAGACUCUUUAUUCCAGGCUAGGCCCAAAUGACACUCUAUUCACCUAUGUAGUGCACUAUACAGAGAAUAGGGUUCCAUUUGGGACGCGUUCUAGGUUGUUCCACUGUCCACAAGGACACGGCAGAUUACUCGGGGCCGGGGCCGGGGCCCAGCCAUGUAAACACAGGUGUGUCACUUCAGUUCAGCCAGUUGUUAUCGUUAAACUUGAUCUAGAUUCUAAUGUUGUUGGACUCAAUACUUGGGACUGGAUUGUGUAUUUAUAUGUAUUUAAGCAUUUCAAAUAUGAUGAAUCUCAUUAUUACCAGGUAAAUGUGUUAACAGUAUAUUGUUUCUAUGGUGGAAGCUCUAGUCUCGAUCUCAGUGUUUUCUGAUCGGAUGAAUUGAGUUGUUUUUAUAUAUUUCAAAAAGAGAUAAAACAGAAGAUUUUCUGCUGAUUUUUAAAAACAGUCCUAUGCUGUUUCUCUGGUGCGUAGGAGCUCUACUCUUCGUGGCAGGAUCGAGCUCUGCUCUAGUCUCUCUGGUGUUGAUGGCAUCGUGUCAGUGCACGUCAACAUUCACCAUCUCCUCUGGGAUCGCUGCCAAUCACAUAAAUCCUCCUCACUUUAAUUCUCAGUACAUUUCCACAUGAAUGUCGCUGCUGACUGCUUGACUAAUAGGCCUUAGGCUAUUCAUAACAGAUUUAUUAACACAUUCGUAUCACGUUUAUUAACACAUUCGUAUCACGUUUAUUAACACAUUCAUAACACAUUAACACAUUCAUAACACAUUAACACAUUCAUAACACAUUAACACAUUCAUAACACAUUAACACAUUCAUAACACAUUAACACAUUCAUAACACAUUAACGCAUUCAUAACACAUUAACGCAUUUAUUAACACAUUUAUUAACACAUUAACACAUUCAUAACACAUUAACACAUUCAUAACACAUUAACACAUUCAUAACACAUUUAUUAACACAUUCAUAACACAUUAACACAUUCAUAACACAUUCAUAACACAUUAACACAUUCAUAACACAUUAACACAUUUAUUAACACUAACACAUUCAUAACACAUUAACACAUGCAUAACACAUUAACACAUUCAUAACACAUUAACACUAACACAUUCAUAACACAUUAACACAUUUAUUAACACAUUAACACAUUCAUAACACAUUAACACAUUUAUUAACACAUUAACACAUUCAUAACACAUUAACACAUUUAUUAACACAUUCUCUUUAUGAACUAUGAGUUUGACCCCAAAAGAAUUGAGAUGUUUUGAUGUCAGUCUUUAAAAUUAAGGAGAAUGUAUACACUGAGUUUACAAAACAUUAGGAACACCUCUUUCCAUGACACAGAACACGUGUCAAAACAUUAGGAACACCUCUUUCCAUGACACAAAACACGUGUAAAACUCGUUCCAUGGAGGGCGGAGUGUUUGCGGGUUUUCACUCCAUCCUUGUACUUAAUUGAUGAAUUCAGGUCACUAAUUAGUAAGGAACUCCCCUCACCUGGUUGGCUAGGUCUCCCCUCACCUGGUUGUCUAGGUCUCAGUAAGGAACUCUCCUCACCUGGUUGUCUAGGUCUCCCCUCACCUGGUUGUCUAGGUCUCAGUAAGGAACUCUCCUCACCUGGUUGUCUAGGUCUCUCCUCACCUGGUUGUCUAGGUCUCAGUAAGGAUCUCCCCUCACCUGGUUGUCCAGGUCUCAGUAAGGAACGCCCCUCACCUGGUUGUCUAGGUCUCAGUGAGGAACUCUCCUCACCUGGUUGGCUAGGUCUCAGUAAGGAACUCCCCUCACCUGGUUGUCUAGGUCUCAGUAAGGAACUCCCCUCACCUGGUUGUCUAGGUCUCAGUAAGGAACUCUCCUCACCUGGUUGUCUAGGUCUCAGUAAGGAACUCCCCUCACCUGGUUGUCUAGGUCUCAGUGAGGAACUCUCCUCACCUGGUUGUCUAGGUCUCAGUAAGGAACUCCCCUCACCUGGUUGUCUAGGUCUCAGUAAGGAACUCUCCUCACCUGGUUGUCUAGGUCUCAGUAAGGAACUCCCCUCACCUGGUUGUCUAGGUCUCAGUAAGGAACUCCCCUCACCUGGUUGGCUAGUUCUUAUUUGAAAGGAAAAACCAAAAACCCGCAGACCCUCGAUCCUCCGUGGAAUGAGUUUGACACCGCUUGAUGUAGCUUGGUCUAUAUCUGUACUUCAUUAAACCAGUUGUAGCUUGGUCUAUAUCUGUACUUCAUUAAACCAGUUGUAGCUUGGUCUAUAUCUAUACUUCAUUAAACCAGUUGUAGCUUGGUCUAUAUCUGUACUUCAUUAAUCCAGUUGUAGCUUGGUCUAUAUCUGUACUUCAUUAAACCAGUUGUAGCUUGGUCUAUAUCUGUACUUCAUUAAACCAGUUGUAGCUUGGUCUAUAUCUG
rnacentral:lncRNA from 1 species